rnacentral:rRNA from 1 species
UACGUAGGGACCAAGCGUUGUCCGGAAUCAUUGGGCGUAAAGAGCGUGUAGGCGGCUCGGUAAGUCCGCUGUAAAAGUCCAGGGCUCAACCCUGGAAAGCCGGUGGAAACUGUCGAGCUAGAGUCCGGAAGAGGCGAGUGGAAUUCCUGGUGUAGCGGUGAAAUGCGCAGAUAUCAGGAGGAACACCAAUGGCGAAGGCAGCUCGCUGGGACGGUACUGACGCUGAGACGCGAAAGCGUGGGGAGCAAACAGG